rnacentral:tRNA from 1 species
GGCUUCAUAGCUCAGUUGGUUAGAGCGUCGCACUGGUAUUGUGACGUCAUGGGUUCAAACCCUGUUGAAGUGCU